UCCUCUUUGAUAAAGCUUAUAGUUAGGGCUGGAUCAGGUGAGUCCUGAACCAUCCCUUAGUUAUGCUGCUAUAGGCCUAGACUAUCGGGGGAUUUCCAAUGAUGCACUGAGCUCCUCCCUUCCUCUCUCUUUCUGCACUCAUUCAUGUCCCAUUAAUGCAUGUUACUAACUUCACUUCUUCCCCGGAGUUCUUGUGCUUUCUCGUCUCGCAGGUUCUCAUGGAUCCUGGUGGAGCCUCCUGCCAUGGUCCUGCUUGACUGCCAUUGCCAAUACUGUUGUUGCUGUGCACCUGUCUGUCUGUCUGUCUCUCACUCUCGCUCUCUCUCUCUCUGCCUCUCUCUCUCUCUCUCUCUCUCUCUCUCUCUCUCACCCCAACUGGUCGAGACAGACGACCACCCACCUAGAGCCGGAGGAUCUGUCCUAGGUUUCUGCCUUUUAACAGGCAGUUUUUCCUUGCCCUUGUCGCCAAGUGCUUGCUCAUGGUGGUACUGUUGAGUCUCUGUAAUUAAUGUUAAAAAGUUCGGUCUAGACCUGCUCUAUUUGAAAAGUGUCCUGAGAUAACUUCUGUUAUGAAUUGGCGCUAUACAAAUAAAAUUGAAUUGAAUUUAAUUGAAUUGAAUUGGAGUAAAAUGUGCUGCCCAGUGUCAGAAAGCUUGGUCUCAUGGGUCGUCCAACACGAUAAUGACCCAAAACACACAGCUAAAAUUACCCAAAAAUGGCUAAGAGCAAAACAUUGGACUAUUCUGAAGUGGCCUUCUAUUAUCCCUGAUCUAAAUCCUCUUGAACAUCUGUGGAAUGAGCUGAAACAUGCAGUCUGGAAGGCACCCUUCAAACCUGAGACAGCUGGAGCAGUUUGCUCCUGAGGCAAUCAAGCGAUUUCUGUAACUCUCAAUGAGACUUAUAUCACUGAGAGUUACAGAAAUCGCUUGUUGCAGUGAUUGCCUCAAAAGGUUGUGCAACAAAAUAUUAAGUUCAGGGUACCAGGGUGUCCAGACCAGUUUCAUUAGUUUGUUUUUUGAAAUGGUUCUGUUGAACCACAAUUCAAAAGCAAUGUCUCAUUUUUAUUAGUUCAUUUUCAGUAGAUUUUUAUUUAUUACUUUUGUCAGUUUCAAGUUAUUUCAGUGACCAUUGUGGGUUUUUCUUUCUUUAACUGAAGUACCAACAAUUUUGUCCACGUGUGUACUUUACUGCACCUUAGUGGAAUUUUGUGUAAGUGCACUCUUAAUGCUAAAAUAAGCAAUCCUGAAGUAUAGUAACCAGUAAUAGUUUGAUCUUCAGCAUCUCAGCUCUAAAAACAUUUUUUCUCUAUUGUCAAUCUCUUGUAGAAGCAAUCUUCACUGUAGUGGUUUUACUGCACUGCAGUGUCAUCAUAUAGCAUAGAUUAGACCAUUUUACCAUAUAGUCAACAAACCUAUGUCUAACACUUGACUGUAGACAGUCGUCUCUAGGGGGGACAGGCCUAGGACUGAACAAUCUCUGUAUUUGUUUAAAAUAAAUAUAUCUUAUCAAA